AUCUUUCAGAGAAAGAGAAUUUAUUGCUCCAUUAUCAGAAGAAAUUAACUUCUUCCUGCCUUGCUCAGCCCUGAAAAUGCUGUCAGGAUUCAGAGGAAGAAGCUGACACUGCCCAGACAGAAUUCUGUGUUUGAAUGGAAUUGAUGCAUCAUGGAUGAGGUGUAUGAAUAUGCAACAGGCUGUUGCUUUUAAGGGUUAAUCCUCUGUUAACGUGGGUCCUUUUUCGGGCUUAUUUUGCCCAGAAAGAGGAACCUGGACUGUCUAGUCAGAGCCACAUCUACCCCAACGGGAACGUACGGAGCUUUCGGUCCAUCUCCUCGCACCUCCGGACCUCAUUGACGAAUUUACGGUGGAACACGUUCACGUCGGGGUUCAGCUGCAGGGAGAGACACGGCACUCAGCAAACGCCCGCCCCACCGGCCCCGCUCCCGAUCCCGCGGGCUCCCGGUGCCGCCACCGCCCCGGGGACACUCACGUCGCGAAACUGGACCUUGCCCAGCUCGCCCAGCUCGCUGACACAGCAGUAGGCGGCCUCGGACUGCAGGAACAGCUGCGCCAGGGUCAUCUCCUCGCUGCGGAACAGCUCCCCCAUGGCGGCGCCGCUCCCGCCGCGGCCUCUGCGGAGAUGAGCCGUGAGAACCGGGCCGGGGUACGGAACGAGGCCUUCCCGCCUCCGCCGCCGCGCCACAGCUCAGCUGCACCUGGAGCCCGGCCCGGCGUCCCCACCCCACCUCACCCCGUUCCCAUCAUAUCCAUCCCCGUUCCAUCCCGUUCCGUCCCGGUCCCCGCCAUUACCUGCCGCCGCUGUCGCUGCUGCCGCCGCCGCCGCCUGACCCGACCCGGCUCCCGUCCGCGCGUCACGCGCACGUCUCCUGGCGACCGCGCGCGGCCCCGCCCCGGAAGUGAUGAUAGAGGCGACACCGCGCCGCGGGGAGUGACGUCACGAGCGGCGUCGUGACGUCACUGUGUGGAAAACGCCAAUCACUUGUUUUUAAAAUUUUUAAAAGUUUAGUAGUAAUAAAAUGGUUAUAAAAAUAGCAAUGUAAUUAGAGUAAUAAAAAUUUGGACAAUUAGGAUUUAGGACAAUAUGAACAAUAAGAACAAAGAGUUACAGACAGUCCAGGUUCCUCUUUCUGGGCAAAAUAAGCCCGAAAAAGGACCCACGUUAACAGAGGAUUAACCCUUAAAAGCAACAGCCUGUUGCAUAUUCAUACACCUCAUCCAUGAUGCAUAAAUUCCAUUCAAACACAGAAUUCUGUCUGGGCAGUGUCAGCUUCUUCCUCUGAAUCCUGACAGCAUUUUCAGGGCUGAGCAAGGCAGGAAGAAGUUCAUUUCUUCUGAUAAUGGAGCAAUAAAUUCUCUUUCUCUGAAAGAUUUAGGUGA